rnacentral:rRNA from 1 species
GAUGAACGCUGACAGAAUGCUUAACACAUGCAAGUCGAUGGGGAAGUGGUGCUUGCACCAUGGCAACCAUGGCGGACGGGUGAGUAACGCGUAAGGGACUUACCUGCAGGACUGGGAUAACAGGGGGAAACUCCUGACAAGACCGGAUAAUGUCAUGGAGCUGCAUGGCUUUAUGAUGAAAGGAGACGCCUGCGGAGAGCCUUGCGUCCUAUUAGCUAGUUGGUGAGGUAAUGGCUCACCAAGGCGAAGAUAGGUAGCCGGCCUGAGAGGGUGGACGGACACAAGGGGACUGAGAUACGACCCUUACUACUACGGGAGGAAGCAGUGGGGAAGAUUGGACAAUGGGGGCAACCCUAAUCCAGCAAUUCUGUGUGAACGAAGAAGGUUUUCGGAUUGUAAAGUGCUUUCAGCAGGGAAGAAGUAAGUGACGGUACCUGCAGAAGAAGCGACGGCUAAAUACGUG